AUGACGUCAAGUCGGCAUGGCCUUCAUACUCCUGGGCCUACACACACGCUACAAUGGUCGGUACAAUAGGUUGCCAAGCCGCGAGGCGGAGCCAAUCCAACAAAGACCGGCCUCCAGUUCAGAUUGUAGGCUGCAACUCGCCUGCAUGAAGAUGGAGUUGCUAGUAACCGCAGGUCAGCAAUACUGCGGUGAAUACGCUCCCGGGUCUU
rnacentral:rRNA from 1 species